UAACACAUGCAAGUCGAACGAUGAAGCCCAGCUUGCUGGGUGGAUUAGUGGCGAACGGGUGAGUAACACGUGAGUAACCUGCCCUUGACUCUGGGAUAAGCACUGGAAACGGUGUCUAAUACCGGAUAUUUCAGCUGGCCGCAUGGUCUGGUUGUGGAAAGAAUUUUGGUCAAGGAUGGACUCGCGGCCUAUCAGGUUGUUGGUGAGGUAAUGGCUCACCAAGCCUACGACGGGUAGCCGGCCUGAGAGGGUGACCGGCCACACUGGGACUGAGACACGGCCCAGACUCCUACGGGAGGCAGCAGUGGGGAAUAUUGCACAAUGGGCGAAAGCCUGAUGCAGCAACGCCGCGUGAGGGACGACGGCCUUCGGGUUGUAAACCUCUUUUAGUAGGGAAGAAGCGAAAGUGACGGUACCUGCAGAAAAAGCACCGGCUAACUACGUGCCAGCAGCCGCGGUAAUACGUAGGGUGCAAGCGUUGUCCGGAAUUAUUGGGCGUAAAGAGCUCGUAGGCGGUUUGUCGCGUCUGCUGUGAAAACUGGAGGCUCAACCUCCAGCCUGCAGUGGGUACGGGCAGACUAGAGUGCGGUAGGGGAGAUUGGAAUUCCUGGUGUAGCGGUGGAAUGCGCAGAUAUCAGGAGGAACACCGAUGGCGAAGGCAGAUCUCUGGGCCGUAACUGACGCUGAGGAGCGAAAGCAUGGGGAGCGAACAGGAUUAGAUACCCUGGUAGUCCAUGCCGUAAACGUUGGGAACUAGAUGUGGGGGCCAUUCCACGGUCUCCGUGUCGCAGCUAACGCAUUAAGUUCCCCGCCUGGGGGAGUACGGCCGCAAGGCUAAAACUCAAAGGAAUUGACGGGGGGCCCGCACAAGCGG
rnacentral:rRNA from 1 species